UCUCAUUUUCGGAGAUGAAGUAGUUUACAUUAUAAAUAUCGAUAAUUAUAGCUCAUAUAUAUCUUGCACAAGUACUACAAAAAGAAUUAGAAAAGCAUGGAUAAGAGUAUUAGAUUAGCCAACUUGUUUGUCAUCGUUUUUAUCUUCAUCCUCCUUGUGAAAACAGCACAGUGCUCUGAAGGAUUCAACAGGCGUAGAAGCAAAACAUGGUCUGGCCCAUGCUUCUUUGAUUCUAAAUGUGACCGGCAAUAUAUGCAGGGAAUGGGAGAAAGCUGAGUAUGGAGAUUGUCGAGGGAGUUUCUUUGCCUGCUCUUGCUUCUUUAAAGCCACUGAUCAGGAAGUUAGAAACCAUAAUUAAUGUAACGUCCAUGCUUGAAAGGGCCUAGUUUGUUAGCCUGGAAGUCUCAUAGGCGCAAUAUUACUUAUUAAGACGUUAGAGCACUUGUAAACUAUUGUCAUAUAUGCAUGUCAUGAGCAAAUAAUAUUUUUGCGGAAAGCAUAAGUUCUUA